rnacentral:rRNA from 1 species
GACGAACGCUGGCGGCGUGCCUAAUACAUGCAAGUAGGACGCAGUUGCGAACGGGUGAGUAACGCGUAGGUAACUGCCUAUUAGAGGGGGAUAACUAUUGGAAACGAUAGCUAAUACCGCAUACUAGUAGAUGGACCUGCUUUGUAUUAGCUAGUAGGUGGGGUAAUGGCCUACCUAGGCAACGAGACAUAGCCGACCUGAGAGGGGGAGCGGGCACACGUGGACCGCGAAACGGGCCAGACUCCUACGGGAUGCCGCAGGAGGGAAUCUUCGGGAAUGGGGGGAACCCCGAACGAGCAAAGCCGCGUGAGUGAAGAAGGGUUUCGGAUCGUAAAGCUCUGUUGUUAAGGAAGCGGUACUUAACCAGAAAGGGACGGCUAACUACGUGCCAGCCGCCGCGGUAAUAC